AUUGAACGCUGGCGGCAGGCCUAACACAUGCAAGUCGAGCGGAGCGGCGGACGGGUGAGUAAUGCCUAGGUAUCUGCCUGGUUGUGGGGAAUAACGUCCGGUAACGGGCGCUAAUACCGCAUACUAUCAGAUGAGCCUAGGUCGGAUUAGCUAGUUGGUGGGGUAAAGGCUUACCAAGGCGACGAUCCGUGACUGGGCUGAGAGGAUGAUCAGUCACACUGGAACUGGGACACGGUCCAGACUCCUACGGUAGGCAGCAGUGGGGAAUAUUGGACAAUGGGCGAAAGCCUGAUCCAGCCAUGCCGCGUGUAUGAAGAAGGCCUUCGGGUUGUAAAGUACUUUCAGCGGGGAGGCGUUACCCGCAGAAGAAGCACCGGCUAACUCCGUGCCAGCAGCCGCGGUAAUUC
rnacentral:rRNA from 1 species